rnacentral:tRNA from 1 species
GGCGGUAUAGCUCAAUGGUAAAGCAUUUCACUGUAGAUCGAGAGAUCCGUGGUUCAACUACGUAUGCCCUCC